rnacentral:SRP_RNA from 1 species
GCAAACGCCUCUCGGCGCCAGCCCUGCGCCAGCCCUGGAAAUCGGCAACCCUAAACAGGACGGCUGGGGAUCCAGGGGCAACGGGGGGGGGUUCAGCUUCGCC